ensembl:lncRNA
GUCUCUAACCUCAAAAUAAUGAGCACGUGACGUGUUCGCGCGCGAUUUCUUUCAAGAAGAUUCCAUCAGGCUGAAAUAUGGCGUGUUCGCCUGUUUGAGCGGCGCAGGUGGACUUGAUAAGAUUCUGACUCUACGGUGACCUAAAUCUGUGUCCUGAAUGUUACAAGUGGUGAUUCACUGUGAAGAUGAACAUGGUGAAAUAGUGAGUGAGACCUUUAAAGCUUGCAGGACAGGAGAACAACGCUGUUAAGACCUCCCUGGCUAUGGACACAAUGGUCAACUAUCCUGGUGGAACAGGUUAGGCUGGGACCUGUCUCAGAGUGUGUGAGGAGAAUGUGGAUGAGGCAUCAGGCUUAUUGUUUACACUGGAGAAGAAUCCCUCUGAAAUGAGGGCCAUUACGCUGCUCAGAGACAGUGAGUGGCAGUCUGGUGCCCUGGGCAGGGUCCUGCUGUGGCUAGGGGUCAAGAGUUGAGCCUCCAGAGAGGGUUCAUCUUGGUGUCUUUGGGUAAGAGCAAUGCACAGACCUAUUAUAACUGGAGGUC